GAUGAACGCUGGCGGCGUGCUUAACACAUGCAAGUCGAACGAUGAAGCCCAGCUUGCUGGGUGGAUUAGUGGCGAACGGGUGAGUAACACGUGAGUAACCUGCCCUUAACUCUGGGAUAAGCCGGGGAAACUGGGUCUAAUACCGGAUAUGAUCGUCCACCGCAUGGUGGGUGUUGGAAAGAUUUAUCGGUUUUGGAUGGACUCGCGGCCUAUCAGCUUGUUGGUGAGGUAAUGGCUCACCAAGGCGACGACGGGUAGCCGGCCUGAGAGGGUGACCGGCCACACUGGGACUGGGAAACGGCCCAGACUCCUACGGGAGGCAGCAGUGGGGAAUAUUGCACAAUGGGCGCAAGCCUGAUGCAGCGACGCCGCGUGGGGGAUGACGGCCUUCGGGUUGUAAACCUCUUUAAGUAGGGAAGAAGCGAAAGUGACGGUACCUGCAGAAGAAGCACCGGCUAACUACGUG
rnacentral:rRNA from 1 species